GACGAACGCUGGCGGCGUGCUUAACACAUGCAAGUCGAACGGAAAGGCCCUGCUUUCGUGGGGUGCUCGAGUGGCGAACGGGUGAGUAACACGUGAGUAACCUGCCCUUGACUUUGGGAUAACUUCAGGAAACUGGGGCUAAUACCGGAUAGGAGCUCCUGCUGCAUGGUGGGGGUUGGAAAGUUUCGGCGGUCGGGGAUGGACUCGCGGCUUAUCAGCUUGUUGGUGGGGUAGUGGCUUACCAAGGCUUUGACGGGUAGCCGGCCUGAGAGGGUGACCGGCGACAAUGGGACUGAGAUACGGCGCAGACGCGUACGGGAGGCAGCAGUGGGGAAUAUGGCACAAUGGGCGGAAGCCUGAUGCAGCAACGCCGCGUGCGGGAUGACGGCCUUCGGGGUGUAAACCGCUUUCGCCUGUGACGAAGCGUGAGUGACGGUAAUGGGUAAAGAAGCACCGGCUAACUACGUG
rnacentral:rRNA from 1 species